CCUGCCCGUAAGUCUGGGAUACCAUUUGGAAACAGGUGCUAAUACCGGAUAAUAAAGCAGAUCGCAUGAUCAGCUUUUGAAAGGCGGCGUAAGCUGUCGCUAAGGGAUGGCCCCGCGGUGCAUUAGCUAGUUGGUAAGGUAACGGCUUACCAAGGCGACGAUGCAUAGCCGAGUUGAGAGACUGAUCGGCCACAUUGGGACUGAGACACGGCCCAAACUCCUACGGGAGGCAGCAGUAGGGAAUCUUCCACAAUGGAGGAAACUCUGAUGCAGCGACACUGCGUGAAGGAUGAAGGUUCUAGGAUCGUAAACUUCUUUUAUCAGGGAGUAAUCUUGAAAGUACCUGAUGAAUAAGGACCGGCUAACUACGUGCCAGCAGCCGCGGUAAUACGUAGGGUCCGAACGUUAUCCGGAAUUAUUGGGCGUAAAGAGUUCGUAGGUGGCAAGAAAAGUCGGGCAUUAAAGCCCUCGGCUCAACCGAGGAAUCGUAUCCGAAACUUUCUAGCUAGAGGUUCGCAGAGGCAGAUGGAAUUCAUGGUGUAGCAGUGGAAUGCGUAGAUAUCAUGAAGAACACCAAUGGCGAAGGCAGUCUGCUGGGCAACACCUGACACUGAGGAACGAAAGCGUGGGUAGCGAACGGGAUUAGAUACCCCGGUAGUCCACGCCGUAAACGAUGCACACUA
rnacentral:rRNA from 1 species